rnacentral:lncRNA from 1 species
AUGCAGAAUUCCAUGGGAAAUGCAGAAUUCCACGGAAAUGCAGAAUUCCAUGGGAAAUGCAGAAUUCCAUGGGAAUUCCCGGACCUGGCUCUGGCCACCACGAAGAGCAGCAGGGGCAGGAGUUCGUCCAUCGGGAGCCGCGAGCCCGGAGCCGCCAGAGCCCGGCAGGCGCCGCCCAGGAAUUCCAGCUUUUCCUUGGGAUCCACCGUGGUGCUGCCGGAAAAACAGCGGGAAAAUGGGGAAAAACAGCGGGAAAAUGGGGAAAAUCCAGGGAAAAUGGGAAAAAACAGGGGGAAAAUGGGGAAAAAAAUGGGGGGAAAUGGGGGAAAAGACAGGGAAAAAAGCAGGAAAAAACCUGGAGAAAAAUGGGAAGAAAUAGGGAAAAUGGGGAAAAAUGGGGAAAAAUAUGGGAAAAAUGGGGAAAAUCCAGGGAAAAUUUGGGAUGAAACUGGGGUUUGUGGGAUGGGAAAUUCCUGGGAUUUCCAGGAUGGAAUUCCAGCUUUUCCUUGGGAUCCACCGUGGUGCUGCCAGAAAAACAGCGGGAAAAAUGGGGAAAAUCCAGGGAAAAUGGGAAAAAACAAGGGGAAAAUGGGGAAAAUCCAGGGAAAAUGGGAAAAAAUGGGGGAAAUGGGGAAAAUCCAGGGAAAAUGGGAAAAAACAGGGGAAAAAUGGGGGAAAUCCAGGGAAAAAUGGGGAAAAAAAUGGGGGGAAAUGGGGGGAAAAAACAGGGAAAAAAGCAGGAAAAAAACUGGAGAAAAAUGGGGAAAAAUGGGGAAAAAUGUGGGAAAAAUGGGGAAAAUCCGGGGAAAAUUUGAUAUGAAACUGGGGUUUGUGGGAUGGGAAAUUCCUGGGAUUUCCAGGAUGGAAUUCCAGCUUUUCCUUGUGAUCCACCGUGGUGCUGCCGGAAAAAACAGCAGGAAAAUGGGGAAAAUCCAGGGAAAAUGGGAAAAAACAGUGGGAAAAUGGGGAAAAUCCAGGGAAAAUGGGAAAAAACAGGGGAAAAUGGGGGAAAUCCAGAGAAAAUGGGAAAAAAUGGGAAAAUGGGGAAAAUCCGGGGAAAAUGGGAAAAAACAAGGGGAAAAUGGGGGAAAUCCAGGGAAAAUGGGAAAAAACAGCGGGAAAAUGGGGGAAAUCCAGGGAAAAUGGGAAAAAACAGGGGAAAAAUGGGGAAAAUCUGGGGAAAAUGGGGAAAAACAGCGGGAAAAUGGGGAAAAUCCAGGGAAAAAAUGGGGAGAAAAAUGGGAAAAAAGGGGGAAAAAGGGGGAAAAUGGGAAAAAAAUGGAGGGAAAAAUGGGAAAAAAUGGGGAAAAAAUGGGGAAAAAAUGGGAGAAAAUGGGAAAAAAUGGGAAGAAUGGAGAAAAAAGGGGGAAAAUGGGAAAAAUGGGGAAAAUGAGAAAGAAACAGGGAAAAACUGGGGAAAAAAUGGGAAGAAUGGAGAAAAAAGGGGGAAAAUGGGAAAAAUGGGGAAAAUGA